GACGAACGCUGGCGGCGUGCUUAACACAUGCAAGUCGAACGAAGUGGCGAACGGGUGAGUAACGCGUAAUCAACCUGCCCUUCAGAGGGGGACAACAGUUGGAAACGACUGCUAAUACCGCAUACUGAAGGAGGGGAUUGCGUCUGAUUAGAUAGUUGGAGGGGUAACGGCCCACCAAGGCGAUGAUCAGUAGACGGUCUGAGAGGAUGAACGGCCACACUGGGACUGAGCGAUGGCCCAGACUCCCACGGUAGGCAGCAGUAGGGAAUAUUCGGCAAUGGCCGAAAGUCUGACCGAGCGACGCCUCGUGAGUGAAGAAGGUUUUCGGAUCGUAAAGCGCUGUGGGUAGAGAAGCGGUAUCCAACCAGAAAGCCCCGGCUAACUACGUGCCAGCAGCCGCGGUAAUAC
rnacentral:rRNA from 1 species